rnacentral:rRNA from 1 species
GUCUACAGUCAUGCCACCCUGAAUAAGCCUGAUCCCGUCUGAUCUCAGAAGCUAAGCAGAGUUGGGCCUGGUUAGUACUUGGAUGGGAGACCACCUAGGAAGACAGGUGCUGUAGGCA